UGAUGCAAAUUUGCAGAACCCAGUGGUGCAGCUUUCCUGUCCAGGCCCUAAUCACCAUCCGACAGGACCAAAGCCGUACAUAUGGCGGCUGUUGCUGAGGGGUAGAGUGGUCGUCCUCCAACCUGAAGGUCGGCAGUUCGAUCACCAGUCUGACCCAUCUGCAUGCCGAAGUGUCCUGGGCAAGAUGCUGAACCCCGAAUGGCCCCCCAUAGAAUAACAAAGUGCUGCGAAUAGAUGCACUGUAUGAAUGUGUGUGUGUGUGUGUGUGUGUGUGAAUGGGUGAAUGUAGAACUGUACUGUAAAGAGCUUUGAGUGGUCAUCAAGAGAAGAAAAGUGCUAUAUAAAUACAAAGCCAUUUACCAUAUGGCAGCUUUAACAAUAACUGUUACUUGAUACUGUCCAAGUGGUUGGAGUCGUAGAGAAAAAACUCUGACAUUGCAGUUUCCUGUACAGUCCUGCUCCACAGUCCUUAAAAUCAUUCACAUCUGCCUUCUGGAAAAGCCUUGAAAACACAUUAAGGCUUAUUUCAUGUUGACCUGUCAGUACUUAUCCCUGUAAGCACAGUCCUGAAGUGCAGCCGGUCCACUUUGGAGCGUUCCAGCAGAUAACAUUGCAUACUACCCUUUGCCUGAUGUACUUCUGCACAUUGUCCCUCUCAAGACACAAGGGGCAAUUAGGAAGCAGUAGAGAAAGUAGCUUCUUAGAUGCCCAAUGAUUUGGUAAUGUAUGGUGAUGAUCGGUUGUGUGGGGUCAGUGGGUGUUUUUAGCCGACCCGCUAAGAUAUCCUGUGGGGCGUGUGUUAGGAUGGUGUGUGAAUCACCUCACCCCUGACAGGUUGACAGGAAGCUGGCCUGAAGUAUGGGAGAGUGACUGUAUUCGAAUAAGUCCGUGCCAGGACAUGUUGUUGAUUUGCCGGUGGAUCAUAGCAGAUCUUGCAGCUGAUUGGCCUGCCGCUUUGUAGCAGCCACAUCACAACUGUGCUCUUUGUGUGCCAUGUGCCUGGCUUCCCGUUCAGGAGUCAGUCGGGGACGACUGCAAUUGACUUUUCCCUUUUUUGUUAGUGAAGAAGUGUCGUUAUUGUAAUUACAUUUUUUGUUUGUUUGUUAUUUUGGCCUUUGUCCACCCUGAAGAAAAACAAAAAGACUGUUGAUAAAUAUAUUGGUUGAUAAUUCAAGAUUUGUUCCUCUGUGGUUACUUGUGACUUGGUGAAGAUGAUAAACUGGAAGUGGACUUGUAUCAAGGGAUAAAAUGGCAUUAAAUAAUAAAAGUCUCCAACCAUUUCAAA